rnacentral:tRNA from 1 species
GGAAGCCAAUCCUGGCCGGUGCCGGGCACGGACUUCAAACCCGAUGUGCGGCACUCUGUGCCGCGGGUGGGUUCGACCCCCACUGGCUUCCGCCA